rnacentral:rRNA from 1 species
GAUGAACGCUGGCGGCGUGCUUAACACAUGCAAGUCGAACGAUGAAGCCCAGCUUGCUGGGUGGAUUAGUGGCGAACGGGUGAGUAACACGUGAGUAACCUGCCCUUAACUCUGGGAUAAGCCUGGGAAACUGGGUCUAAUACCGGAUAGGAGCGUCCACCGCAUGGUGGGUGUUGGAAAGAUUUAUCGGUUUUGGAUGGACUCGCGGCCUAUCAGCUUGUUGGUGAGGUAAUGGCUCACCAAGGCGACGACGGGUAGCCGGCCUGAGAGGGUGACCGGCCACACUGGGACUGAGACACGGCCCAGACUCCUACGGGAGGCAGCAGUGGGGAAUAUUGCACAAUGGGCGCAAGCCUGAUGCAGCGACGCCACGUGAGGGAUGACGGCCUUCGGGUUGUAAACCUCUUUCAGUAGGGAAGAAGCGAAAGUGACGGUACCUGCAGAAGAAGCACCGGCUAACUACGUG